UACGUAGGGGGCAAGCGUUGUCCGGAAUUAUUGGGCGUAAAGCGCUUGUAGGCGGUUUGUUGCGUCUGCUGUGAAAUUUCGGGGCUCAACCCCGAACUUGCAGUGGGUACGGGCAGACUAGAGUGUGGUAGGGGAGACUGGAAUUCCUGGUGUAGCGGUGAAAUGCGCAGAUAUCAGGAGGAACACCGAUGGCGAAGGCAGCUCGCUGGGACGGUACUGACGCUGAGGCGCGAAAGCGUGGGGAGCGAACAGG
rnacentral:rRNA from 1 species